CCCUUAGAUGUUCUGGGCUGCACGCGCGCUACACUGAAGCGUUCAACGAGUAUUCACCUUGCCCGGGAGGGUUGGGUAAUCUUUUGAAAACGCUUCGUGAUGGGGAUAGAUUAUUGCAAUUAUUAAUCUUCAACGAGGAAUUCCUAGUAAGCGCGAGUCAUCAGCUCGUGCUGAUUACGUCCCUGCCCUUUGUACACACCGCCCGUCGCUCCUACCGAUUGAAUGAUCCGGUGAACCCCUCGGAUCGGGGACGGUGCCCGUCGGUCUCCGGCGGGCCAGCCCUCGAAAAGUUGGGUAAACCUUAUCAUUUAGAGGAAGGAGAAGUCGUAACA
rnacentral:rRNA from 1 species